UGAGGAAUAUUGGUCAAUGGACGAGAGUCUGAACCAGCCAAGUAGCGUGCAGGAUGACGGCCCUAUGGGUUUUAAACUGCUUUUGUUUGGGAAUAAUCGACAUUACGUGUAAUGUUUUGCAUGUACCAUUCGAAUAAGGACCGGCUAAUUCCGUUCCAGCAGCCGCGGUAAUACGGAAGGUCCAGGCGUUAUCCGGAUUUAUUGGGUUUAAAGGGAGCGUAGGCUGUUUGUUAAGCGUGUUGUGAAAUGUAAGAGCUCAACUUUUAGAUUGCAGCGCGAACUGGCAGACUUGAGUGCGCACAACGUAGGCGGAAUUCAUGGUGUAGCGAUGAAAUGCUUAGAUAUCAUGACGAACUCCGAUUGCGAAGGCAGCUUACGGGAGCGCAACUGACGCUAAAGCUCGAAGGUGCGGGUAUCGAACAGG
rnacentral:rRNA from 1 species